CAGGACGAACGCUGGCGGCGUGCCUGACACAUGCAAGUCGAGCGGAGUCAGUAAGAGGAAGUUUCGGAUGGAAUCUUGUUGAUUUAGCGGCGGACGGGUGAGUAACGCGUGAGCGACCAACCUUGCACAGGGGGAUAACGGACCGAAAGGUUCACUAAUACCGCAUGAGACCACGGUGUUGCAUGACACAGGGGUCAAAGGAGCAAUCCGGUGCAAGACGGGCUCGCGUCCGAUUAGGUAGUUGGAGGGGUAACGGCCCACCAAGCCUAUGAUCGGUAGCCGACCUGAGAGGGUGAUCGGCCACAUUGGAACUGAGAUACGGUCCAAAUCCUACGGGAGGCAGCAGUGGGGAAUAUUGGGGCCAAUGGGGGAAACCCUGACCCAGCAACGCCGCGUGAAGGAAGAAGGUUUUCGGAUUGUAAACUUCUGUCCUUGGUGAAGAGAAGAAGACGGUAGCCAAGGAGGAAGCCCCGGCUAACUACGUGCCAGCCGCCGC
rnacentral:rRNA from 1 species